AUUGAACGCUGGCGGCAGGCCUAACACAUGCAAGUCGAGCGGAGCGGCGGACGGGUGAGUAAUGCCUAGAAAUCUGAAUGGGAGCGGGGGAUAACGUCCGGAACCGGACGCUAAUACCGCAUACUAUCAGAUGAGCAUAGGUCGGAUUAGCUGGGUGGUGGGGUAAGGGCCUACAAGGGCGACGACCCGUAACUGGUCUGAGAGGAUGAUCAGUAACACUGGAACGGAUAACCGGCCCAGACUCCUACGGGAGGCAGCAGUGGGAAAUAUUGGAAAAUGGGCGAAAGCCUGAUCCAGCCAUGCCGCGUGUGUGAAGAAGGUCUUCGGAUUUAAAAGCCCUUUAACUUGGGAGGCGUUACCAACAGAAUAAGCACCGGCUAACUUCGUGCCAGCAGCCGCGGUAAUAC
rnacentral:rRNA from 1 species